ACACAUGCAAGUCGAACGAUGAAGCCCUUCGGGGUGGAUUAGUGGCGAACGGGUGAGUAANACGUGGGCAAUCUGCCCUGCACUCUGGGACAAGCCCUGGAAACGGGGUCUAAUACCGGAUAUGACCAUCUUGGGCAUCCUUGAUGGUGUAAAGCUCCGGCGGUGCAGGAUGAGCCCGCGGCCUAUCAGCUUGUUGGUGAGGUAAUGGCUCACCAAGGCGACGACGGGUAGCCGGCCUGAGAGGGCGACCGGCCACACUGGGACUGAGACACGGCCCAGACUCCUACGGGAGGCAGCAGUGGGGAAUAUUGCACAAUGGGCGAAAGCCUGAUGCAGCGACGCCGCGUGAGGGAUGACGGCCUUCGGGUUGUAAACCUCUUUCAGCAGGGAAGAAGCGAAAGUGACGGUACCUGCAGAAGAAGCGCCGGCUAACUACGUGCCAGCAGCCGCGGUAAUACGUAGGGCGCAAGCGUUGUCCGGAAUUAUUGGGCGUAAAGAGCUCGUAGGCGGCUUGUCACGUCGGUUGUGAAAGCCCGGGGCUUAACCCCGGGUCUGCAGUCGAUACGGGCAGGCUAGAGUUCGGUAGGGGAGAUCGGAAUUCCUGGUGUAGCGGUGAAAUGCGCAGAUAUCAGGAGGAACACCGGUGGCGAAGGCGGAUCUCUGGGCCGAUACUGACGCUGAGGAGCGAAAGCGUGGGGAGCGAACAGGA
rnacentral:rRNA from 1 species